rnacentral:rRNA from 1 species
CCUACGGGUGGCAGCAGUGGGGGAUAUUGCACAAUGGGGGAAACCCUGAUGCAGCGACGCCGCGUGUGGGAAGACGGUCCUCUGGAUUGUAAACCACUGUCCCCAGGGACGAAGAUGACGGUACCUGGGGAGGACGCUCCGGCUAACUACGUGCCAGCAGCCGCGGUAAUACGUAGGGAGCGAGCGUUGUCCGGAAUUACUGGGUGUAAAGGGAGCGUAGGCGGGACUGCAAGUUGGGUGUCAAAUCUACCGGCUCAACCGGGAGCCGCACUCGAAACGGCGGUUCUGGAGUGAAGUAGAGGCAGGCGGAAUUCCUAGUGUAGCGGUGAAAUGCGUAGAUAUUAGGAGGAACACGAGGGGCGAAGGCGGCCUGCUGGGCUGUAACUGACGCGGAGGCUCGAAAGUGUGGGGAGCAAACAGGAUUAGAUACCCGGGUAGUC